AUACGUAGGUGGCAAGCGUUGUCCGGAUUUAUUGGGUUUAAAGGGUGCGCAGGCGGCCAUUUAAGUCAGCGGUUAAAUCGUGGGGCUCAACCCCAUUCUGCCGUUGAUACUGGGUGGCUUGAUUGCGGUCGAGGUUGGCGGAAUUCGUUGUGUAGCGGUGAAAUGCAUAGAUAUGACGAAGAACACCGAUUGCGUAGGCAGCUGACCAGACCGCAAAUGACGCUCAUGCACGAAAGUGCGGGGAUCGAACAGGAUUAGAUACCCUGGUAGUCCGCACAGUAAACGAUGAAUACUUGUUUUCGGCGAUAUAAUGUCGGAGGCAAAGCGAAAGCGAUAAGUAUUCCACCUGGGGAGUACGCCGGCAACGGUGAGACUCAAAGGAAUUGGCGGGG
rnacentral:rRNA from 1 species